rnacentral:rRNA from 1 species
CCUACGGGGCGCAGCAGUGGGGAAUCUUCCGCAAUGGGCGAAAGCCUGACGGAGCAAUGCCGCGUGGAGGUAGAAGGCCCACGGGUCGUGAACUUCUUUUCCCGGAGAAGAAGCAAUGACGGUAUCUGGGGAACAAGCAUCGGCUAACUCUGUGCCAGCAGCCGCGGUAAUACAGAGGAUGCAAGCGUUAUCCGGAAUGAUUGAGCGUAAAGCGUCUGCAGGUGGCUUUUUAAGUCCGCCGUCAAAUCCCAGGGCUCAACCCUGGACAGGCGGUGGAAACUACCCAGCUGGAGUACGGUAGGGGCAGAGGGAAUUUCCGGUGGAGCGGUGAAAUGCGUAGAGAUCGGAAAGAGCACCAACGGCGAAAGCACUCUGCUGGGCCGACACUGACACUGAGAGACGAAAGCUAGGGGAGCGAAUGGGAUUAGAUACCCUUGUAGUC